GUUUUACAUUCUUGAUUCUGCUACUGAGGAUGGAUGCGUUAGCUGUGUGGUAUCUUUGUGACACUUGAUCAAGCAUGGUGUGAUUGUUAAUUAUUUCCCUCCAACGCUUUAAUGUUGAUUUGACAGGUUGUCAGGUUGUUUCUCUCUCUCCCCCUCCCCCAGCAUUGCCUUGUCUAUUUUGCAAACGUAUUGCACCUGGUUGUGGUUGAAGAAACAUAUGCCUGUGUGUGUGUGUGUGUGUGUGUGUGUGUGUUUAAAUCGUGCAAUGAAAUUAAAUGGUGUAUGACAAGAAUGUUCUUUAAAUAAGCCUUUAAUGUGUGUGACACCUUUUGGAGGAAAUAAUGGAAGCUGGUUUUGUAUUUACAGCUGCAGUUUCUACAACCAGUCCUGUAUUGAUUCUGCAAACCCCUUAUUAACACCUGGUUGCGCUUUUGCAGUUUGCUGUUUGCCUGUGAGAUUAACCCGGACAAUUGCUUAAUCUCACUAGGCAUUCAAUAUCAGUGUUAGGGCCUGGGAUGGCAGCAGCAGCUGCCUGGAGGACUCCCAAAGAGAGGGAGAGGAAGCUGAGGGAGCACUCCACAAGGGAAGGUGUUUGGAAAAGGCAACCUGAAGAAAGAAGGGAACGAGAGACGUCAAAGAUGUUCAUAAAUCACCGAAAAGGAGAAGAAGCCGCAGACCAUCAAAUGUGCAACAGAGCAAGGCAUUUUACGGCAUUAGCAGGAAUGCCUCAAAGGACAAAAUCAUGACCAGACCCUGGCAGAAGAAUGCACAUAUGGUUAAAGGUAGGAGACAACCACAUAUGCACACAGCAAGCUCUGCUCACAUCUGUUGUUUGUUUAACCAGCCUUUUCCUUCUUCAUAGUUGUUGAAGGAAAGAGGGGAGGGUAUGUUUGGAAGGGGGGAAUGAUCAGAGAGGCCUUGUUUUCUAAAAGGGAGAGAGAGGGGGGGGGAAAGUGGUACAACUCAAACACGAUCAGUUUUGUACUGCUUUAACCAUAAUGGUUUUCUCUCUCCAGGCCAAGAAUCCUGGGAAUUAUAGUUUGGCGACAUGCAAAAAAUUAUCUGUGUAAGUUGCUUAAGCCCCCCUCCCCCUAAAUAAUCACACAGCUAGAGUUCCCAGGGGAGAGGAAAUUACAUUUAAACCAGUAAGGCCAUAGUGUAGGUUUUUCUCCCGCAAUAAAAAAGUUCAAUUUUAGCAGGGAACGAGGUUAGCAAAUGCCUUGUAAGACAGUAAAAGGCUUUUUGAUUUCGCCUCUCCAGUCAUUUUCGGUUUUAUUUAGAAGCAAUGUAUUAAAGGAGGUGAAAGUAUCUGAUUAUUGCUCCAUCUGCUUUGCUCCGGUCCCAGUGUUGUUCAUGGUUGCUGUUGUUUUUUUAAAAAGAUAUAAAGUCUGAGGAUUGGCUUGCCUGCGGGAGCAGACAAAGCUACUGUCUACUGAGUCAGGCUGUGUCCAUCAUGGGCACACCCUGGCAGGGACAAAAGCAAAGCCCUGAUGCCUGUCCUGGACCAUCCUUUAAAAAAGUGAAUAAAUUCUGAACAACAGAACCUGGAAGCCAGUUUUAAACCCCUGCAAUGAUGCCAAUGUUGCAGUGUUCCAGGGCUUCGUAAGGAAUUCAAACGGGAUUUCCCAGCUGCCUGCCACAGUAGCCAACUACCGGUAAGUCUUACUCAGAGUAGAUCCAUUGAAAUUAAAGAACUGAAGUCUGUCGUGAUCAUUUACUUUAAUGGGUCUACUCUGAACAGGAAUAGUGUUGAAUACCACCCAUAGUAAAGGGCUCUCAAAAUGAGCCUACUCAGAGUUAGAUCACUGGUCCGUCUAGUUCAGUACUAUCUAAUCCAGUGGCCUUCCAAAGUCUUGGGCAGGGGUCUUUCCCAUCAUUCGCUAUCAGAUCCUUUUAACUCAAGAUUGCUCUAAACAGGCUCGAAAUAAGAAAUAAAAAUGAGUAAAGCUCUUUCAUGUACAUUUUGUUGUUGUCAUCUGUGAGCGACCUUGCAAGGUAGGUCAAGAUUAUUAUCCCCAUGUUGCAAGUAGAGUUCUGGCGCCCUGAGCUGCAUUUUGAAUGCUCUCCCCAGAGACCUUUGCCUGGCACUGAAUAUGAUGUCCUUUCAGCACUAGAUGAAAACCCUUUCCUUUGCCCCAAGCAUAUUAGAUUUAAGUUUUUAUUCAUUUUAAUUAGGCUUGUACAAUGUGUGUCCCCCUGCACUGCUCCUGUUUAUAUUAUAUUUUUAUUUGAUUGCUAUUUCUAUUGUGUUAUUGGUGCAUUUUAUUGUUUUAGCUGCUCUGAGAGCUCUUGCUGGAAAAUUUCUAAACAAAUUUUCAAAACAAACAAACAACAGCAUCUGUCUUGCAGAGAUGAAAUUAACUACAACACCACAGCAGUUCCUGUUGCUUUCAGUUCCAUUUCUGGUCACACUAGAUCAUGACAAAGAAGCAGCAGUUGGCAUGUAGGUUUUAGAUAGCAAAAUGCCCACCAAAUUUGGUGUGCAAGGGAGGAGAGAUUGAGAGCUCCAGCCCCUUCCUAAACACACACACCCCUCCCCGGUUUGGCAUUGCAAAAUGUUUACUUAAAAAAUAACCAAAUAAAUACAUAUAGGUAACAUUUCACCAGAAAGAGGUUACAACCUGAAAAUCUCUUAUACAGCAUUUCUUAUCUCUUGGUGGACUCCUUGAUAUAACUUAAUUCUGUUCCAACAUAAGACAAAAGGUCUCCAAACUUCCAUGAGUAUGAUUGCUCCAUUUCCCCAUCACUGACGUUUGCCAACUGUUUUGGAAUCAAUUGUCAAGCAUUGCUAGAUUUUCGCCCCACCCCCAGGAAUACAGGAAACUGCCUUGUACUCAGUGAGACCAUUGGUCCACCUGGUUCAGCAUUGCCUACACUGACUGGCAGAGGCUCUCCAGCACUUCAGACCAGAUGUCUCUCUCAGCACAACCUGCAGAUGCCAGUGAUUGAAACCUGGGUUUCUUUUGCAUGCAAAGCAGAUGCUCUACCACACAGCUAUGGCCAUCCCCAUAAAGUGUUUAGCAACUAAAUUAUGAGUUGCAAUCUACGUAUUGUUUACUUAGGCAUUUGUAUUCUGUUUUCAUAGAUUGUCCAAACAGAGCAAGAACAAAAUUUCAGGUUUUAGAGACAUCAUUUCCUCUCCAGUCUCUUUGAUAGUUCUUAUGAUAAGUUUCCUGAAGUUUAUUACAUACUUACAGGACCACCACAUUUGCCUGAAGCCUGUGUUUUGUUCCAUACGCUGCCAGCAACAUGAAUUAGCUAAGCCAAGUACAGCUGCCACCAGCCCUGCACACUCGCCACGCUGGCUGAAAUUGUUGGGAUUUGUAAUUCAACAUCUGGUGUUUGCCACCCUGAGCUAAACCAUAUAGGUGACAAUACCCAUCAUUAGUCACACUAGGGAGACCCACUGAGUUAUGUUCAGUGCAGUUCUACUUAGAAUAGACCCACUGAAAUUAAAGUACUCAAGUGAGUCAUGCCCAUGAAUUUCAGUGGGUAAACGCUAAAUAAAACUAAUAUUAGCUACAAUCCAUUGAACUCAAUGGGUUUAACGCCAUGAAUUUCAGUGGGUCUACUCAGUUUUGUUGGCCUUGCGUUUCUUGCAAGUAUGGGGAAUCUCACACCACCUGCAGAUCAUUUUAAUGAAAAUUUCUUUAGAUCUAGUAGCUGCUUUGUUCUUUCUUCUCUGCUUUAUGCCCUCUUAAUGUAGUUUCAGAAUUAGGGUUUUCAUCCCAUUAUUCAACCCAAGAUGUGAAGAGAAUCUGCAAUCCUUCCUUUUUUUUGUGUGGUGGUGGAACAGUGUCCCUGAUAGUAACAGCCAAUUGAAAUACCAGAGCGAGUAGAUGCAUAACACAAAACAGCUGUCAGGGUUUCCCCCCACCUCCUCUUGGCAAAUAUAAGCUUUCAGAUCUAUAGUUCAACCCACCGUUUGAGUGGAAGUCAGAGAAGCCAUCCCUGAAACAUCUGUGGUAAGGGUUGUAAGGCUUUUAAGAAAUGGAGAAGAGGAAGUAAAGCAACACUAAGGGCAUAUUCACACCACACAUUUAAAGCACUGUUAUACCACUUUAAACAGUCGUGGCUUUCCCCAGAGAAUUAUGGGAGCUGUAGUUUGUUAAGGGUGCCAAGAACUGUUCGGAGACCCCUGACCCCCUCACAGAGCUACAAUUCCAGGAGUGGUUUAUCAAUCAACUCUUCUUCACAAGGACCUAUCAAAAUCGUAGUUCUGUGAGAGGAAUAGGGGUUUCCUAACCACUCUCCACACCCUUAAACUACUGCUCCCAGAAUUCUUCAGCACAAUCCUAUACUUGUCUACAUGGAAAGAAGUCCCAUUUCACUGCUCGCUGGGUUAGAGGGGGCAAGGGCAAAGGCCAGAAGCGGCCCACUAGGUGAGAUGGAUCCAAUACGCUUGUGUCCUUCAGUGACCCAUCUGCUGGGAAGCUGACAGAGCAACUCUGCCCCACCCAAAAAAGCUGUUUCUGGCAAGAAUUGUGAGGAUGAGGAGCACCAGGAGGCUCUGGGGAUGAGCCAGGGGUGCCAUUUGGGGGAGCUGAGCAGCUGAGGGCUCUUCUUAAAUCUUCAAGCAGGGGGCCAGCUAGGCUCCCUCAAUAUUCCACAGCCUGAAACGGGCCUUGCUGGUCCUUCCCACAGCUGUGAUGGGCCCCAUUGGGCCUUCCCAUGGCUGCAGCAGGCCUCGCAGCCUCCUCCUGCCACGUGACAUCACAUGUGCACAUCAUGUACGUGACAUCACACACACCGGGCACCCCCAAAGUUGGGCAGAACCCACUGGGAUGGGCAGUGGGUCCCUUCCUAAAACAUGACCUUUGGGAAGUGCCCGAUGGUGCUGACCUCAGGCGUUAACCCUAUAACUUCUUGCUGGCUGUGUGUAUCCAGGUUUUGACACCAGUUAUCCAUGAUGAAACCUUGUUGGGUUACAAAACCCCCUUAAUCACUACUGCGAGGAAGCAAAUUGUAUGCGGAUGGGUUUUCCUUGGGUCCUCAAAGAAGUGUGGUAAAAAAACACUGCUAGUUGAAGAAUAGGCCGUUUCCUUUUUGCCUUUGCAAAAGGAAACAAAAAAGCCAAAAGUGAAUUGGCUCUUAAUCUCCAAAGGAAGCUGAUAUGAGAUGGAUUUCUCCCUUCAUCUCUCCCUGGACUGUUUUUUUCUUCCUGCUGUGAGAAAACUAUGGUCACAGUACACCUGUGUUUCACAGGAAUAUAAAGGUUUUUGCAGCAGAAACCUCUGAAGCCCCCAGGAAUUCCUUUGACGCUGGGAUAUGAGCAGCAGCUGUGGGUCUUAAUAGCUGCAGUCUCCUUUUGGGGGGACUUUAAUAAAAUCCCCUUCCUUGAAAAGAAGCUCCAGUUAAAAAAAAUACAUUCUCAAGUUGUGUAUUGCACUGUUAAAUAAAUAAAUUCGUUAGCCUUAGAGGUGCUUUCUGCAGGAUUCUUCACUGUUGUUAACGCGAAGAUGGUGACUCUAAAGAACAGAGUCACAAAUGAUCUGGACAGCCUUCUCUGUUAAAGGUUCUGUCUCUCCAUUUGGCUGCAUGCACACUAACCCACUUGUAGAUGUAGAAAAUGUAGUUUUUCUCAAUCUGGAAUUGUUGAUGCUUAACCUCAACAUUAAGGGACGCGGGUGGCGCUGUGGGUUAAACCACAGAGCCUAGGACUUGCCAAUCAGAAGGUCGGCGGUUCAAAUCCCUGCGAUGGGGU